rnacentral:sRNA from 1 species
AUUCUUCGAUCUGCUGGGGUGCGAUGAAGUGGAUAUGCGCGUCCAUGGCGCCGGCGGUGAGAAUGCGGCCUUCGCCCGCGAUGAUUUCGGUCGAUGGGCCAAUGAUGAUGGUGACGCCAGACUGCGUGUCAGGAUUGCCCGCCUUGCCGAUGCCCGCGAUCCUGCCGUCCUUGAGGGCGACAUCGGCCUUGUAGAUGCCGGUCACGUCGACGACCAAUGCAUUGGUGAUGACGGUAUCGACGGCGCCCUCGGCGCGGGUGCGCUGCGACUGGCCCAUGCCAUCGCGGAU